GAUGAACGCUGACAGAAUGCUUAACACAUGCAAGUCUACUUGAACUUCGGUUUGGGUGGCGGACGGGUGAGUAACGCGUAAAGAACUUGCCUCACAGAUAGGGACAACAUUUGGAAACGAAUGCUAAUACCUGAUAUUAUGAUUUUAAGGCAUCCUAGAAUUAUGAAAGCUAUAUGCACUGUGAGAGAGCUUUGCGUCCCAUUAGCUAGUUGGAGAGGUAACGGCUCACCAAGGCGAUGAUGGGUAGCCGGCCUGAGAGGGUGAUCGGCCACAAGGGGACUGAGACACGGCCCUUACUCCUAUGGGAGGCAGCAGUGGGGAAUAUUGGACAAUGGACCAAGAGUCUGAUCCAGCAAUUCUGUGUGCACGAUGAAGUUUUUCGGAAUGUAAAGUGCUUUCAGUUGGGAAGAAAAAAAUGACGGUACCAACAGAAGAAGUGACGGCUAAAUACGUG
rnacentral:rRNA from 1 species